AUGGUCUGGACCUUGCUUCUCCUGGGCCUCCUGGCUCACUGCACAGGUUCUGUAUCUUCCUCUGAACUGAAUCAGCCACCUUCAUUAUCUGUGAAUCCGGGAGGAGAGGCCAAGAUGACCUGUACGGGAAACAAUGUUGAAAGCUACUAUGUUCACUGGUACCAGCAGAAGCCAGGCCAGGCCCCUGUGAUGGUCAUCUACGAGAAUAGCGAACGACCCUCAGGGAUCCCUGACCGCUUCUCUGGCUCCAACUCUGGGGGCACGGCCACCCUGUCCAUUACGGGUGUGCGCACUGAGGAUGAGGCCGACUAUUACUGUCAGUUGUGGGAUAGUAGUACUGGUGCUCACAGUGACACAGACAAAUGGGGAAGUGAGACAUAA